GGGGAAAGGGGUGUUCUAAGUUUUGGGGAAAUUGUGUGGUCUCUGCCUGGAGAUAAUUGGUUUAUUUCUUAACUUAUCUCAAUAUCUCCCAGGCAGAGAGAGGGCGUGUAUUACUGUAAAUAUGUAUGUUGAUUGGCUGUUGUCUUUGUUUGCUGUGGGAGGUCCUCUUGCAGGAGGAUUUCUCAUAAAAGCCUGUGUGUUUUCAAUAAACUUCAUUCCUGUUACACCCUUCAUGAAGUCUAGGCUCAUGUUUGGGGGAUAUUCUAUUUGCUGGGAAGACUCAUCUUGGAACUGCAUUCAUCUAUCCUAUUCCUCUGCUCCCUGUUGCAGCUAUAAUCACUUAUGCUCAGCUGUUGGGAAAAGGAACAGAAGACCGCAGCACCACAGCCACUGCAGGUCUUAACUGGUGGCAACGAUGGGAUUGAAUGGAAGGCAUAAAGACAACUGGUGAAUGGCCCAGCAGUACGAGAAUCUAAAAAGGACUACACUAAAGGAUCUGCUGGAAGCCAGAGGUCAUGUGGCCAGCAACAAAAAGAAAGCUACCCUCUUAGCAGAACUGAUGGAGGGCGACCAAACCAGCAGCAUGGCGAAUGUCAGCCAGGAGGAAGCAGAAUUCCAACAGAAGGUGAUGUGGAGGCUAAACCUAUAUGGGCCAAAUCCCACACCUGAGAUGGUGACGCAAGUCCUGGCACAAGUGAGUGCAGAACGCAGAGCACAACAGGCAAGCUUGAACCAAGGAGACAACGCUUCCUUAGCUGGAUUUAUAAAUGGAGGGCAGCGGAGAAAGAUUAAUUACGCUGCUUUUAAAAGUUUCUCGGAUGGAGAGAUGGAAAUUGACGCAUAUUUACAAGAUUUUGAGCGUCAAUGCGCUUUGGAGGGUCUGGAGUCAGAGCAAUGGGCCGCGAUUUUAAGCAGCAAGCUCACAGGCCGAGCAGCAGAGGCGUACCGAGCAGUUCCUGACACAGCUAUACACGACUACGCCAGGGUAAAGGACAUUCUGCUAGCCAGGUAUGCCGUGACCCCAGAGACUUACAGGAAAAAGUUUCGGGCAUUACGGAAAGGGGGCAGAGACUCCUACACUGAAUGGGCCUUUAGGAUGUAUCGGGCAGCCCAAAACUGGAUACAGGGCUGCCAGGCCACAACGCUAGAGGAGGUGCUGCAACUCCUCUUGCUAGAACAAUUUUUUGACCACACACCUGCAGACACCAGGGACUGGGUCAGAGACAGGAAGCCGACCACAGUUGAGGAAGCGGCCAAGCUAGCAGACGAGCAUCACGAGGGAAGAAAAGGAGAGGCUAGUGGAAACCAUCCUCUGGUAAGGUACAGCGCUCCAACGCCA